rnacentral:rRNA from 1 species
GGACGAACGCUGGCGGCGUGCUUAACACAUGCAAGUCACGGGGGUCCCGCAAGGGAUAACCGGCGAACGGGUGCGUAACACGUGAACAACCUGCCCUCGUGUGGGGGAUAGCCAUGCUAACGCGUGGGUAAUACCGCAUACGUUCCCCUGGAGGAGUCUCUGGGGGAGGAAAGCUCCGGCGCACGGGGAGGGGUUCGCGGCCUAUCAGCUAGUUGGCGGGGUAAUGGCCCACCAAGGCGACGACGGGUAGCUGGUCNGAGAGGAUGGCCAGCCACAUUGGGACUGAGAGACGGCCCAGACUCCUACGGGAGGCAGCAGGUGGGGAAUCUUGCGCAAUGGCCGAAAGGCUGACGCAGCGACGCCGCGUGUGGGAUGAAGCAUUUCGGUGUGUAAACCACUGUUGCCCGGGACGAACAGCUGUUUCGANAGGUCUGACGGUACCGGGUGAGGAAGCACCGGCUAACUCCGUGCCAG